rnacentral:rRNA from 1 species
AACCGUGUACGUACAAGCAGUGGGAGCACCUUCGGGUGUGACUGCGUACCUUUUGUAUAAUGGGUCAGCGACUUAUAUUCUGUAGCAAGGUUAACCGUAUAGGGGAGCCUCAGGGAAACCGAGUCUUAACUGGGCGUUAAGUUGCAGGGUAUAGACCCGAAACCCGGUGAUCUAGCCAUGGGCAGGUUGAAGGUUGGGUAACACUAACUGGAGGACCGAACCGACUAAUGUUGAAAAAUUAGCGGAUGACUUGUGGCUGGGGGUGAAAGGCCAAUCAAACCGGGAGAUAGCUGGUUCUCCCCGAAAGCUAUUUAGGUAGCGCCUCGUGAACUCAUCUUCGGGGGUAGAGCACUGUUUCGGCUAGGGGGUCAUCCCGACUUACCAACCCGAUGCAAACUACGAAUACCGAAGAAUGUUAUCACGGGAGACACACGGCGGGUGCUAACGUCCGUCGUGAAGAGGGAAACAACCCAGACCGCCAGCUAAGGUCCCAAAGUCAUGGUUAAGUGGGAAACGAUGUGGGAAGGCACAGACAGCCAGGAUGUUGGCUUAGAAGCAGCCAUCAUUUAAAGAAAGCGUAAUAGCUCACUGGUCGAGUCGGCCUGCGCGGAAGAUGUAACGGGGCUAAACCAUGCACCGAAGCUGCGGCAGCGACACUAUGUGUUGUUGGGUAGGGGAGCGUUCUGUAAGCCUGCGAAGGUGUGCUGUGAGGCAUGCUGGAGGUAUCAGAAGUGCGAAUGCUGACAUAAGUAACGAUAAAGCGGGUGAAAAGCCCGCUCGCCGGAAGACCAAGGGUUCCUGUCCAACGUUAAUCGGGGCAGGGUGAGUCGACCCCUAAGGCGAGGCCGAAAGGCGUAGUCGAUGGGAAACAGGUUAAUAUUCCUGUACUUGGUGUUACUGCGAAGGGGGGACGGAGAAGGCUAUGUUAGCCGGGCGACGGUUGUCCCGGUUUAAGCAUGUAGGCUGGU